ensembl:miRNA aca-mir-5413 aca-mir-5413
GAAACAUGAUCAGAAAUAGUUUUACCAUUGCAUUGGAGAUGGAAUUUUUUCUAAUGCAACGGUAGAACUAUUCCUGAUCAUGUAGC